AAUCCCUUAGAAUAACUAACAAAACAUAAAUGCUAAUUUAUAUUAGCUUUAGGCUACUAUUUAUAAAUGCUAUGUAGGAGAGACAUAGGAUUGUCAAAUUUUUAAAAAAUGCCUGCCAUACGCCUAACAGGAGAUAUAAGGGAAAAUUGGGAUGCUUUGGAAUCCCCAUUAUCAUAUUAUUUCUUAAACAUGGUACUUAAUACUAAGUAUAUUUAGUUUGUGCUACAUGAAAUUUUUAUUUUGGAAUGUCAAAAAAACUGAAUAUCAACAUUAUGGUUCAAUAUGAUUUUCAAUCAAAUGUACACUAUAUAUAGAUAGUAAUUUGAUUUCAUACUUUAUUUCUUAGGCUGAGCCAUUAAAAGUUGGUGGUAGUGAUAUAUGCCUGGCAACCUUACUUAGUUCUUGAGGAACUGGGAGACUUGCUGCCUAUAUGAUCAGGAAAGAGCAUGUAUCAAGCUGGUGAAAUGUUAGUAAAGUUUAUGGUGACAAGAACAUCAGUGACAAUGAUUGUGAAAUUCUGUGCUGCUGAUUUUGACCUCAAUGACGCUCCUUGGUCAGGGAGACCCACUGAAGUUGAUGACAAAAUAAAGGCAUUGACGCUCCUUGGUCAGGGAGACCCACUGAAGUUGAUGACAAAAUAAAGGCAUUGAUGGAGUUGAACCCAUGUUACACAACACAAGAGAAUGUAGAAACAUUGACCAUCCAGCAUUCAAGCAUUCACGACCACUCGAAGAACCUGGGACACAUAAGCAAGCUUGAUUAUUUGGAUUCCUCAUGAACUCAAAGAAGUUAAUUUGACAGCAUGUAUAAACAUCUGCAAUAUGCUCAUUAAAUGUGAGAAAAAUGACCCUAUUUUAAGCAACCAAUACCUGGUAAUGAGAA